UACGUAGGGUGCAGGCGUUAAUCGGAAUUACUGGGCGUAAAGCGUGCGCAGGCGGUUUGCUAAGUGAGAUGUGAAAUCCCCGGGCUUAACCUGGGAACUGCGUUUCUAACUGGCAGGCUUGAGUGUGGCAGAGGGGGGUGGAAUUCCACGUGUAGCAGUGAAAUGCAUAGAUAUGCCAUAGAACACCGAUUGCGAAGGCAGCUGGCUGGGCCUACUUUGACGCUGAGGCACGAAAGCGUGGGGAGCAAACAGG
rnacentral:rRNA from 1 species